rnacentral:rRNA from 1 species
AGAGUUUGAUCAUGGCUCAGGAUGAACGCUAGCGGCAGGCCUAAUACAUGCAAGUCGAGGGGCAACAGGUGUAGCAAUACAUGCUGGCGACCGGCGCACGGGUGCGUAACACGUAUGAAACCUACCCAUAACAUGGGAAUAGCCCGAAGAAAUUCGGAUUAAUGUCCAAUGACACGUUGAAAUGGCAUCAUUUUAAUGUUAAAGAUUUAUCGGUUAUGGAAGGUCAUGCGGCUGAUUAGCUAGUUGGUGAGGUAAUGGCUCACCAAGGCGACGAUCAGUAGGGGACCUGAGAGGGUGAUCCCCCACACUGGUACUGAGAUACGGACCAGACUCCUACGGGAGGCAGCAGUAGGGAAUAUUGGGCAAUGGGCGAGAGCCUGACCCAGCCAUGCCGCGUGCAGGAAGAAGGCCUUCUGGGUUGUAAACUGCUUUUGAUCGGGAACAAAGAGUCCAUGCGUGGAAAGUUGAGUGUACCGAUAGAAUAAGCACCGGCUAACUCCGUGCCAGCAGCCGCGGUAAUACGGAGGGUGCAAGCGUUGUCCGGAUUUAUUGGGUUUAAAGGGUGCGUAGGCGGUCUUUUAAGUCAGCGGUGAAAGCCUCCAGCUUAACUGGAGAAAUGCCAUUGAUACUGGAAGACUUGAGUACAGACGAGGUAGGCGGAAUUGACAGUGUAGCGGUGAAAUGCAUAGAUAUUGUCAAGAACACCGAUUGCGAAGGCAGCUUACUAGACUGUAACUGACGCUGAGGCACGAAAGUGUGGGGAUCAAACAGGAUUAGAUACCCUAGUAGUCC